GUGCUUGCUACGGCUGCACAUAUACCUAAAAUUGGAUCGAUACAGAGAAGCUUAGCAUGGCCCCUGCGAAAGGAUUGACACGCAAAUCCGUGAAAGCGUUCCAUAUUUCU
ensembl:snRNA U6 U6 spliceosomal RNA